rnacentral:rRNA from 1 species
AGGCAACGGGGGGGGGGGUGCCCUAUACAUGCAAGUCGAGCGCAGGAACUGACGGAACUCUUCGGAGGGAAGGCAGCGGAAUGAGCGGCGGACGGGUGAGUAACACGUAAGGAACCUGCCUCAAGGAUUGGGAUAACUCCGAGAAAUCGGAGCUAAUACCGGAUAGUUCAUCGGACCGCAUGGUCCGCUGAUGAAAGGCGCUCCGGCGUCACCUUGAGAUGGCCUUGCGGUGCAUUAGCUAGUUGGUGGGGUAACGGCCCACCAAGGCGACGAUGCAUAGCCGACCUGAGAGGGUGAUCGGCCACACUGGGACUGAGACACGGCCCAGACUCCUACGGGAGGCAGCAGUAGGGAAUCUUCCACAAUGGACGAAAGUCUGAUGGAGCAACGCCGCGUGAGUGAUGAAGGUUUUCGGAUCGUAAAACUCUGUUGUAAGGGAAGAACACGUACGAGAGGGAAUGCUCGUACCUUGACGGUACCUUACGAGAAAGCCACGGCUAACUACGUGCCAGCAGCCGCGGUAAUACGUAGGUGGCAAGCGUUGUCCGGAAUUAUUGGGGCGUAAGAGCGCGCGCAGGCGGCCUUUUAAGUCUGAUGUGAAAGCCCCCCGGCUCAACCGGGGAGGGCCAUUGGAAACUGGAAGGCUUGAGUACAGAAGAGAAGAGUGGAAAUUCCACGUGUAGCGGUGAAAUGCGUAGAGAUGUGGAGGAACACCAGUGGCGAAGGCGACUCUUUGGUCUGUAACUGACGCUGAGCGCGAAAGCGUGGGGAGCAAACAGAUUAGAUACCCUGGUAGUCCACGCCGUAACGAUGAGUGCUAGUGUUUGGGGGGGGUUUCCGCCCCCCUCAAUGCUGAGCUACGGCAUAGCACCUCCGCCUGGGGGAGUACGGCCGCUACGCUGAACUCAAGGAUUGACGGGAACCCGUCACAGCCGGUGAGCAUGUGGACUUCAGUCGUAGCCACGCGAGACGUGACGACUCUGGACAUCCACUGACGCUUGAAGAUUCAGCUUGCCAUCGGGACACUGGCUGACAGU